rnacentral:piRNA from 1 species
UGCCUAAGCUGAGUGUAUUGCUCAUGGU